AUGGCUUCCCUGGGCAUCGUAGGUGAAGAACUCCUUAGCAGCAGGAGUACCGGGUUCGCAAUGCAGCCCUUCAUUUUCAUCCUGUAAAUUGCUGCUGCUGGGUUCGCUCAGUGCUGUGAAUGAUCAUCGCUUUACGAUGGAUGACCAGAGAGGAUGAUGUGAUCUGAGGCUGAAGGGAUCGAUAUCCGCUAACGCAAAAAGAGGAAGAAUUCCUUCUACCGCAGGUUGCGUUACCUCUCUCUAAAGCUCCUUCAGCUACAAAGCUGCAAAGGCAGAUACGUGAGCUCUGUUUCACCAAGCCAUCAAACAUGAUAACAGUCAGUUAUAUAAACAUCUGAGUGUGGAGACAUUUGAUUCCGGUGCUGUGUGGGCAGCCUGGUUUGCAGCAGAGAUUUCUAAACAGGCAAUCCGGUUUUCCAGAGUGUUGGAGAGAAUGCACAGUUAAGAACUGAAUGGCAAGGCAGAGAUCUGUCUGAGGAAGGACUCUGGGGUGCUGUAAGAGAAGUUACACUGCCUUGGAGGUCUUUCUGCAGGAAAACCAGUCCUGGCCCAUGCUGCUCCACCACAGGAUCAAGAGAGGCCACAAGAAGAGCUUUUGAAGUGCUUCCUGAUCCUAACUAUGGCUUAACCAGCUCUGUGAGAGAGUCAAGCAUGAUACUACCUGCUCUACUCAAGGUGUGGCCCAGCGCAUAAAGGCUUGUAUUGGGGAUCUGCACAGGGACUCCGGCUCUGCUGCUGCUUCAGCUCAAUGGGC